UACGUAGGUGGCAAGCGUUGUCCGGAUUUACUGGGCGUAAAGAGCGCGCAGGCGGUCGUUCAAGUCGCGUGUGAAAGCCCCGGGCUCAACCUGGGAAUUGCAUUCGAGACUGCGUGGCUAGGGUGCGGAAGAGGGAAGCGGAAUUUCCGGUGUAGCGGUGAAAUGCGUAGAUAUCGGAAGGAACACCAGUGGCGAAAGCGGCUUCCUGGUCCAGCACCGACGUUCAGGCACGAAAGCGUGGGGAGCAAACAGG
rnacentral:rRNA from 1 species